UACAGAGGGGGCAAGCGUUGUUCGGAAUUACUGGGCGUAAAGGGCGCGUAGGCGGCCUUCUAAGUCGAACGUGAAAUCCCCGGGCUCAACCCGGGAACUGCGUCCGAGACUGGAAGGCUCGAAUCCGGGAGAGGGAUGUGGAAUUCCAGGUGUAGCGGUGAAAUGCGUAGAUAUCUGGAGGAACACCGGUGGCGAAGGCGGCAUCCUGGACCGAGAUUGACGCUGAGGCGCGAAAGCCAGGGGAGCAAACGGG
rnacentral:rRNA from 1 species